CAGUCGCCACGGGAAUACGAAGGGGGCUAGCGUUGUUCGGAUUUACUGGGCGUAAAGGGCGCGUAGGCGGACUGAUAAGUCAGGGGUGAAAUCCCAAGGCUCAACCUUGGAACUGCCUUUGAUACUGUUUGUCUUGAGUUCGAGAGAGGUAAGUGGAACUGCGAGUGUAGAGGUGAAAUUCGUAGAUAUUCGCAAGAACACCAGUGGCGAAGGCGGCUUACUGGCUCGAAACUGACGCUGAGGCGCGAAAGCGUGGGGAGCAAACAGGAUUAGAGACCCCCGUAGUCCCUGUCUUAUACAC
rnacentral:rRNA from 1 species